rnacentral:rRNA from 1 species
AUCGCAACCCCGCGCGCUUGUGUCGCUCUCCUCCUCCCAGCCCCUCUGUCAUUUCUAACACGCAACCCCAAACAGAGUCGAGCGAGAGGAGAGAGACAGCCAUGGCGAUUUGGAGCUCCGCCUCGCCGCUCGAUCCAGUGUUUUGGUGGUGACUCGUCCGCGCUCUACCUCGUGCUGCCCCGGUUCCUCUGCUUCCCUUCUGUUCCUGGCAGCGGGAUCUGCGACAUCUCUCGGCCCCGCACCGACCCGUCCCCAUUUCCGCCGCUGGCGAUUUUGUUCGUUGGAUUCGGUAUUUUUCCCCUUCCCUUUUUGUUGUUCCUGUGAUCUGUUAGGUAGUGAGUUGGUUUUGUCUGUCAGAUGUGUUGAUUGUAUCCAUCCCCCGCAGCUAUUUUCCGUGUAGAUUUGUUUAGGUUGCGCCGUUUCUGGGAUGCGUUUGGUUGAUCUGCUAAGCGUGGUAGCUGGGAUGCGCGUUGAGCUGCUGAUCUGUACUUGGUUGGUUGUUCGAAUUCGAGUUGUUCCUGUCAGGUUGGCUUGCUUAGUUGUAGUAGUCUGAUGUAUUCAGUCAAUUCGAACGGAUCUAUUCUGUUCCCUGGCCUAAAUCCCUAGACCGCGUUUUUCUUCACUGGUAUCGCUUAGUGGGUAUGUUGUUUACUCUGCAAUUCCUAUUUGGAUUUAUAGUGAUUUACAGUGCAAUCCUCAUUGUUUUUUAGAGUGAUCUACAGUGUAAUUCAUAUUGGUUUUUAUUGAUGUUUCACUGUAAUUCGUAGUGGGUUCCCACUGUAAUUUUCUAGUGGGUAGGUAGUAGAUUGUAGUGUACUCCUUGGUUAUUUUACAGUGUAAUUACAGUGUAUUUUGUCAGUGGAUUUGCACCGUAUUUGCUAGUGGAAUAACAGUGCACGUGUCAUGUAUAAUUACAGUGUAUUUUUGUCAGUGGAGAUGCAUUGUAUUUGUUAG